GACCUCACUGGAUUCCAGGCUCUAUAUAGGAUCAGCACCAGUGUCUACUCCUGUAAAUAAUUGAAAGGAAUAUAAUAGGGGCAAUGGAGGAAUUGACAAGGAGUUAAACCAAGAUUUACAAGAAUGUACUUCUCAAGAAAAUAACCAAGUCAGUUUUGUACACAAUGAAUUCCGGGACCUUCAAGUGAGAAAUGCAUGAGACAUGAAGGGAAAUUGGCAACUCCAACAGAGAGCACUGGUCUACCUGGGGCUCCGUGAAUGAGUGGCAUAGAUUGAGUCAGGACCCACUGUCCCAUAGGAUACAUCAUAGAAGGUAGACGUGUGGCUAAAAGGUUAUAGGCUAUUUGUCCCCAGACAAAGCUUCUUCACAAAUGUGUUAGGACAAAGAGCAAACAAGAUUGUACUACAUUCCAUGAUUGUCGCCUGCCUGUUUGAAUGUGUUCACCGCCUUCUCAAUUACCCUAAGGAAUAAACGAACUCAUGGAAGAAUCUUUCCUGGGCACUCAGUUCCACACUGUAAAUAACAGGCGAUAGAGCAAGACAGCGGUACGGAGACUGCCAACACCUACGGCAGCUCAGCCUUGGCCCCGUGUCUGCGAUAGCACAAAGGAGGAAUUAUUAAUGACAUUUGAUCACCAGGGUAAAGCAAGCGUGUGGGCGAUUCUCUCCAAAGACAAGAAUACAAAAGACUGUGCCUGAGGCUCAGGCUUUUAUUAGUGGCAGAUGAACACUGGAACAGAGUAAAGGAGAUGCUGUCUGAUAUUUUACACAACGUCUUUCAGCCAUUACUUAAUAAAUAGCGAUGCAUUAAUUUUCAAAGCAGUGGCAGGGGAGAAAAUAUUACUUUCUUUUCCUAUCCUAAGAUGAACACACACACACACACACACACACACACACACACACACACACACACACACACACAUAUUUUAAAGGUUAGGAAAUUUUGGGAGAGAAGAUGUGUUUCAGAAAGAACUUCUAAAUAGAAUUGCUUAUCCUUUUGAGCACCAUUAAUUUCAACACAACUUUGCCACUCGAACCAUGUUUCCUUCUUAGUAAAGGGAAAGGUUCUGCAUACAAGGAUCUGUUUAAGACACGGAAGCAUUUGUUUUGAUUGAGAUUAUCAGAGCCGGUAUGUUUGGGAUCUCUUAGGAACUUGAGUAAAUACUCCAGCAGCAUUCCAUUUCUUAUUUCCUAAAAGGUCAAUUUGUUAGGAGUGCUUAUGGCCAUCUUCACAGUCCCAAAUGUCACUUGUAGAUGCUCCCCAAAUGCCCUCUCAGGAACUGCGUUCCACAUCCCCUAGAACUGAAAACAGAAGAGUGCUCGAGACCCAUAGAGACGAUCAACUUUGAAAUGGUUCAGGCUCAGGGCAUUAAGCACAUCACUAAUUCAGUAGCUGACGCAGGGCUGUAGAGAUCACCAAGAACUCAGGGUCAGUGCGGAGACCAGGAGCACGAGUUCUGUUCAUCUGGUCAUCCCCUUUGUCACUGUUCUCCAUUUUUCAUGUUAGUAU